CGGGCAGACUUGAGGAAUGUAGGGGAGAACGGAAUUCCUGGUGGAGCGGUGGAAUGCGAGAUAUCAGGAGGAACACCAGUGGCGAAGGGGUUCUCUGACAUUUCCUGACGCUGAGACAGCGAAAGCGUGGGGAGCAAACAGGCUUAGAUACCCUGGUAGUCCACGCCGUAAACGGUGGGCACUAGGUGUGGGACCCAUUCCACGGGUUCCGUGCCGUAGCUAACGCAUUAAGUGCCCCGCCUGGGGAGUACGGCCGCAAGGCUAAAACUCAAAGGAAUUGACGGGGGCCCGCACAAGCGGCGGAGCAUGCGGAUUAAUUCGAUGCAACGCGAAGAACCUUACCUGGGUUUGACAUAUACCGGAAACAUCUGGAGACAGUGCCCCGCAAGGUCGGUAUACAGGUGGUGCAUGGCUGUUCGUCAGCUCGUGUCGUGAGAUGUUGGGUUAAGUCCCGCAACGAGCGCAACCCUCGUUCUAUGUUGCCAGCGGUUCGGCCGGGAACUCAUAGAAGACUGCCGGGGUCAACUCGGAGGAAGGUGGGGAUGACGUCAAGUCAUCAUGCCCCUUAUGUCCAGGGCUUCACGCAUGCUACAAUGGCUGGUACAAAGGGCUGCAAUA
rnacentral:rRNA from 1 species